CUACGGGGGGCUGCAGUGGGGAAUAUUGCACAAUGGAGGAAACUCUGAUGCAGCAACGCCGCGUGGAGGAUGACACUUUUCGGAGCGUAAACUCCUUUUAUAUAGGAAGAAGAUGACGGUACUAUAUGAAUAAGCGCCGGCUAACUCCGUGCCAGCAGCCGCGGGAAUACGGAGGGCGCAAGCGUUACUCGGAAUCACUGGGCGUAAAGAGCGUGUAGGCGGAUUAAAAAGUCAGAAGUGAAAUCCUAUAGCUUAACUAUAGAACUGCUUCUGAAACUCUUAAUCUAGAAUAUGGGAGAGGUAGAUGGAAUUUCUGGUGUAGGGGUAAAAUCCGUAGAGAUCAGAAGGAAUACCGAUUGCGAAGGCGAUCUACUGGAACAUUAUUGACGCUGAGACGCGAAAGCGUGGGGAGCAAACAGGAUUAGAUACCCCCGUAGUC
rnacentral:rRNA from 1 species